rnacentral:pre_miRNA from 1 species
AGUGGAAUUGCUGAAUCAAAUGGGAAAUCUGUUUGAGGAAUUGACAGCCUGUUUUGCAAAGUAAUUUCACCAUUUUGCAUUACCACCACCAGU